rnacentral:rRNA from 1 species
UACGAAGGGGGCUAGCGUUGCUCGGAAUCAUUGGGCGUAAAGGGCGCGUAGGUGGUUCUGUAUGUCUACCGUGAAAGCAUACAGCUCAACUGUAUUUUGUCGGUAGAAACUGCAGGACUUGAGGCUGGGAGGGGCUGGUGGAAUUCCCUGUGUAGCGGUGAAAUGCGUAGAGAUGGGGGAGAACACUCGUGGCGAAGGCGGCCAGCUGGACCAGUUCUGACACUGAGGCGCGACAGCGUGGGGAGCAAACAGG